rnacentral:rRNA from 1 species
AGGGCAUCUUCCUCAAUGGACGGAAGUCUGAUGGAGCAACGCCGCGUGAGUGAUGAAGGUUUUCGGAUCGUAAAACUCUGUUGUAAGGGAAGAACCAGUACGUCAGGCAAUGGACGUACCUUGACGGUACCUUAUUAGAAAGCCACGGCUAACUACGUGCCAGCAGCCGCGGUAAUACGUAGGUGGCAAGCGUUGUCCGGAAUUAUUGGGCGUAAAGCGCGCGCAGGGGGUUUCUUAAGGCUGAUGUGAAAGCCCACGGCUUAACCGUGGAGAGUCAUUGGAAACUGGGAGACGUGAGUGCAGAAGAGGAGAGUGGAAUUCCAAGUGUAGCGGUGAAAUGCGUAGAGAUUUGGAGGAGCACCAGUGGCGGAGGCGACUUUCUGGUCUGAAAGUGACGCUGAGGCGCGAAAGAAUGGGGAGCACACA